rnacentral:tRNA from 1 species
GCCUGGCUAGCUCAGUUGGUAGAGCAUCAGACUUUUAAUCUGAGAAUCCAGGGUUUAAAUCCCUGUUCAAGUG